rnacentral:misc_RNA from 1 species
UUUGGAUAUUUGGUUUAAAGACUUCACCAACCGAGAUUGGCAAGGUCUAUACGAUAAGUUCAUUAUCAAAUAAGAGUUUCAAUCUCAUGACCGGUUUAGAGUCAAGUGAAGGGAACAUGUUAUUGGUCUGAGAGUACAGCUAGGUUGGGGUUUGAUUAGAACUCCAACUUCUUCUGUAAAAUGACUUACUACUAAGAGUAGGUCACACUCGGUACGCGGGUCGUAGAAUGCUAAUCAGGCCGAAGCCCAAUUAGACACUCAUGUUUUGAGGGUGUGGUAAUGAUCCUUCCGCAGGUUCACCUACGGAAA